GCGAUACAGGGUGACAGCCCCGUACACAAAAAUGCACAUGCUGUGAGCUCGAUGAGUAGGGCGGGACACGUGGUAUCCUGUCUGAAUAUGGGGGGACCAUCCUCCAAGGCUAAAUACUCCUGACUGACCGAUAGUGAACCAGUACCGUGAGGGAAAGGCGAAAAGAACCCCGGCGAGGGGAGUGAAAAAGAACCUGAAACCGUGUACGUACAAGCAGUGGGAGCACGCUUAGGCGUGUGACUGCGUACCUUUUGUAUAAUGGGUCAGCGACUUAUAUUCUGUAGCAAGGUUAACCGAAUAGGGGAGCCGAAGGGAAACCGAGUCUUAACUGGGCGUUAAGUUGCAGGGUAUAGACCCGAAACCCGGUGAUCUAGCCAUGGGCAGGUUGAAGGUUGGGUAACACUAACUGGAGGACCGAACCGACUAAUGUUGAAAAAUUAGCGGAUGACUUGUGGCUGGGGGUGAAAGGCCAAUCAAACCGGGAGAUAGCUGGUUCUCCCCGAAAGCUAUUUAGGUAGCGCCUCGUGAAUUCAUCUCCGGGGGUAGAGCACUGUUUCGGCAAGGGGGUCAUCCCGACUUACCAACCCGAUGCAAACUGCGAAUACCGGAGAAUGUUAUCACGGGAGACACACGGCGGGUGCUAACGUCCGUCGUGAAGAGGGAAACAACCCAGACCGCCAGCUAAGGUCCCAAAGUCAUGGUUAAGUGGGAAACGAUGUGGGAAGGCCCAGACAGCCAGGAUGUUGGCUUAGAAGCAGCCAUCAUUUAAAGAAAGCGUAAUAGCUCACUGGUCGAGUCGGCCUGCGCGGAAGAUGUAACGGGGCUAAACCAUGCACCGAAGCUGCGGCAGCGACGCUGAUGCGUUGUUGGGUAGGGGAGCGUUCUGUAAGCCUGCGAAGGUGUGCUGUGAGGCAUGCUGGAGGUAUCAGAAGUGCGAAUGCUGACAUAAGUAACGAUAAAGCGGGUGAAAAGCCCGCUCGCCGGAAGACCAAGGGUUCCUGUCCAACGUUAAUCGGGGCAGGGUGAGUCGACCCCUAAGGCGAGGCCGAAAGGCGUAGUCGAUGGGAAACAGGUUAAUAUUCCUGUACUUGGUGUUACUGCGAAGGGGGGACGGAGAAGGCUAUGUUGGCCGGGCGACGGUUGUCCCGGUUUAAGCGUGUAGGCUGGUUUUCCAGGCAAAUCCGGAAAAUCAAGGCUGAGGCGUGAUGACGAGGCACUACGGUGCUGAAGCAACAAAUGCCCUGCUUCCAGGAAAAGCCUCUAAGCAUCAGGUAACAUCAAAUCGUACCCCAAACCGACACAGGUGGUCAGGUAGAGAAUACCAAGGCGCUUGAGAGAACUCGGGUGAAGGAACUAGGCAAAAUGGUGCCGUAACUUCGGGAGAAGGCACGCUGAUAUGUAGGUGAAGCGACUUGCUCGUGGAGCUGAAAUCAGUCGAAGAUACCAGCUGGCUGCAACUGUUUAUUAAAAACACAGCACUGUGCAAACACGAAAGUGGACGUAUACGGUGUGACGCCUGCCCGGUGCCGGAAGGUUAAUUGAUGGGGUCAGCGCAAGCGAAGCUCUUGAUCGAAGCCCCGGUAAACGGCGGCCGUAACUAUAACGGUCCUAAGGUAGCGAAAUUCCUUGUCGGGUAAGUUCCGACCUGCACGAAUGGCGUAAUGAUGGCCAGGCUGUCUCCACCCGAGACUCAGUGAAAUUGAACUCGCUGUGAAGAUGCAGUGUACCCGCGGCAAGACGGAAAGACCCCGUGAACCUUUACUAUAGCUUGACACUGAACAUUGAGCCUUGAUGUGUAGGAUAGGUGGGAGGCUUGGAAGUGUGGACGCCAGUCUGCAUGGAGCCGACCUUGAAAUACCACCCUUUAAUGUUUGAUGUUCUAACGUUGACCCGUAAUCCGGGUUGCGGACAGUGUCUGGUGGGUAGUUUGACUGGGGCGGUCUCCUCCUAAAGAGUAACGGAGGAGCACGAAGGUUGGCUAAUCCUGGUCGGACAUCAGGAGGUUAGUGCAAUGGCAUAAGCCAGCUUGACUGCGAGCGUGACGGCGCGAGCAGGUGCGAAAGCAGGUCAUAGUGAUCCGGUGGUUCUGAAUGGAAGGGCCAUCGCUCAACGGAUAAAAGGUACUCCGGGGAUAACAGGCUGAUACCGCCCAAGAGUUCAUAUCGACGGCGGUGUUUGGCACCUCGAUGUCGGCUCAUCACAUCCUGGGGCUGAAGUAGGUCCCAAGGGUAUGGCUGUUCGCCAUUUAAAGUGGUACGCGAGCUGGGUUUAGAACGUCGUGAGACAGUUCGGUCCCUAUCUGCCGUGGGCGCUGGAGAACUGAGGGGGGCUGCUCCUAGUACGAGAGGACCGGAGUGGACGCAUCACUGGUGUUCGGGUUGUCAUGCCAAUGGCACUGCCCGGUAGCUAAAUGCGGAAGAGAUAAGUGCUGAAAGCAUCUAAGCACGAAACUUGCCCCGAGAUGAGUUCUCCCUGACUCCUUGAGAGUCCUGAAGGAACGUUGAAGACGACGACGUUGAUAGGCCGGGUGUGUAAGCGCAGCGAUGCGUUGAGCUAACCGGUACUAAUGAACCGUGAGGCUUAACCUU
rnacentral:rRNA from 1 species